rnacentral:piRNA from 1 species
UGGGAGUUGUUCUAGAACCUACCUCAAGU